GCUAGGUUUGGUGGCACACUCUUGUAAUGCCAGCUACUCCAGAGGCUGAAGCGGGAGGGUCGCUUGAAUCCCAGGAGUUCUGGGCUGCAGUGCGGUAUGCCCAUCCAGUAUCCAGAGUAGGUUCAUCAUCAAUAUGGCGACCUCCGGGAGUGGAGUGGAGGGUUGCCUAAGGUGGGGUGAACUGUCCCAGAAACAGAGCAGGUUAAAACUCAUGCUCAUGUGCUGAUCAGCAGCGGGAUCGCACCUAUGAAUAGCCACCGCACUCCAGCCUAGGCUACAUAGCAGGACCCUAGUCUCA
ensembl:misc_RNA Metazoa_SRP Metazoan signal recognition particle RNA